GCUUUCUCGUUUCCUCACCAGAAAAGCAAUCAACUCUACUUUUGGUCCUUGCCACUUGCUUAGGUCCUAUGAGGCAAUGGUGGUCUCCUGGUUUUUAUUUGUAUCAAAUAUUUUUCCUGGAAUCCUGUUCCCUCUUAUGAUUUUGGAAAUGACUUCUUAAAAAUAGAAAUCAAAAUAAAUGAGUUCUGAGUGUUCUUUUUCUCAAA